AUACGGAGGGUGCAAGCGUUAAUCGGAAUUACUGGGCGUAAAGCGUACGUAGGCGGUUAGUUAAGUUAGAUGUGAAAGCCCCGGGCUUAACCUGGGAACUGCAUUUAAAACUGGCUAACUAGUGUUAAGUAGAGGGGAGUGGAAUUUCAGGUGUAGCGGUGAAAUGCGUAGAGAUCUGAAGGAACACCAGUGGCGAAGGCGACUCCCUGGACUUGAACUGACGCUGAGGUACGAAAGCGUGGGUAGCAAACGGGAUUAGAAACCCUAGUAGUCC
rnacentral:rRNA from 1 species